UUACUACUCCUUUAAAAUCUCCUACCAUUAUAGACCUCUCUUUUCCAUCUCAUUUCUCAUAAGAAACAUAAAAAAUACAAUAACCAAUAAAAAAUGGCCCUUCCACACACACAACAGGAAACAAAAGUUAUUCCAGAUGCCUGGGAUUACAAAGGUAGACCUGCCCUUAGAUCUACCUCUGGUGGUUGGGCUGGUGCCGCCAUGAUUUUAGGUGUCGAAGCUGUGGAGAGGCUAGUAACGCUAGGCAUUGCUGUGAACUUGGUGGUGUACUUGACUAAAACAAUGCAUUUAGGGAAUGCUAGCGCUGCCAACAUUGUUACGAACUUUAUGGGAACUUCCUAUAUACUCACUUUGCUUGGUGGCUACGUUGCUGACACUUUCCUCGGAAGGUAUCUUACCGUUGGCAUCGGAGCCACUGUUCAAGCAAUAGGUGUAACAAUUUUAACAAUCUCGACCAUAGUUCCAAGCUUACGACCUCCAAAAUGUGAUCUCGGUAGCCCAUCCUGCAUCCCUGCAGACGGCAAACAACUGGCCGUCCUCUUCAUCGCCCUCUACAUGACAGCCCUAGGCACUGGAUUUCUGAAAUCCAGUGUCUCGGGCUUUGGGACGGACCAAUUUGAUGAGUCCGACCCGAAGGAAAAAGGACGGAUGAUUAAAUUCUUCAGUUGGUUUUUUUUCCUAAUCAAUGUUGGAGCACUUACUGCUGUAACCGUACUGGUGUACAUUCAAGAUAAAGUUGGAAGGAAAUUCGGGUAUGGAAUUUGUGCGUGCGCCAUUUUAGUUGGCCUUGUGUUUUUCUUGUGCGGUACGAAAAGGUACCGGUUCAAGAAACUCGUUGGGAGUCCGUUAUCGCAGUUUGCUUCGGUAUUUAUUGCUGCCUGGAGAAAACGGCAUAUGAAUUUACCGUCAGAUUCUUCCGUUUUGUUCAAUAUUGAUGAUAUCAUUGGAGAUGAAAACGUUAAAGACAAACAAAAGUUGCCUCAUAGCAAGGAAUUCCGUUUCUUGGAUAAAGCAGCUAUUAAAGAUUGUUCUAGUGAAUUUUCUGGGACAGCAAUAUUGAAUAAUUGGAAGUUAGCAACUUUAACAGAUGUCGAAGAAGUUAAAUUGGUAAUUAGAAUGUUACCAACAUGGGGUACGUCCAUUAUGUUUUGGACUGUUUAUGCUCAAAUGACAACAUUUUCUGUUUCACAAGCUACAACUAUGGAUCGUCACAUCGGUAAAUCCUUUGAAAUUCCUCCGGCUUCACUCACCGCGUUUUUCGUUGCAAGUGUCAUGUUGGUUAUUAUUUUCUACGAUAGGGUUAUUGUACCCUUAUGCGCCCGGUACAUGAACAGUCCACAUGGCUUCACUCCUCUGACACGUAUUGCAAUAGGGUUAGUUACGUCUAUUUUCGCGAUGAUUGCAGCUGCUUUAACUGAGAUAAAGAGAUUAAACGUUGCUAAGUCUCACGGAUUGAUUAACAAUCCGAACGCGGUGAUUCCGAUGAGUGUGUUUUGGUUGGUGCCACAAUUCUUACUUGUUGGAGGAGGUGAAGCUUUUACAUAUAUUGGACAACUUGAUUUUUUCUUAAGAGAGUGUCCAAAAGGGAUGAAAACUAUGAGUACUGGCUUAUUUAUAAGCACGAUUUCGCUUGGAUUUUUCUUUAGUUCGAUUUUAGUAUCGAUCGUAGAUAAGGUGACCGCGAAAUCAAGGCCGUGGCUAGCUGAUAAUCUAAACCAAGGGAAACUAUAUAAUUUCUAUUGGCUUUUGGCCAUUUUGAGUGUAUUGAACGUGAUACUUUUUUUCUAUUGUGCUAAACGUUACGUGUACAAGGAGAAGAGGCUAGCUGAAGUGGGAAUUCAAAUGGAGGACUCGGGACCAG
rnacentral:misc_RNA from 1 species